UUGUCUUUUGGACCCUGAGCUAUGGUGCCAUGAACUUUUUGAAUCAUUUCCAUCUUGAUGUUAUACAAGACAUCUUUGUUCAAGAGUUUAUCCACUUUAUCUAGAGGAAUCAACACUCAUAUUUGUAAUACCCCAAAAUUUACCCUUCAUUUUUCUUGGAAGCAUGGGAUGGUUUCACAUUGCAUUAGCAUCAUACUAGGUCAUACUCAUUGCAUACUGCAUCAGUGACUUGGGAAAUCAGGGUUUGAUUGACCACUCCUUAACUAGAGUGAGCCCACACAAAGCAAGACUGAG
rnacentral:lncRNA from 1 species